rnacentral:rRNA from 1 species
CGGUAAAAGCUCAAAUUUGAAAUCUGGCUCUUUUAGAGUCCGAAUUGUAAUUUGUAGAGGAUACUUUUGAUGCGGUGCCUUCCGAGUUCCCUGGAACGGGACGCCAUAGAGGGUGAGAGCCCCGUCUGGUUGGAUGCCAAAUCUCUGUAAAGUUCCUUCAAC